rnacentral:lncRNA from 1 species
UGGGGAUUGCAGUCUUACAAAGACUGAUCAAGGGAAGACUCAACACAAAUGUUGGGCAAAAAGCCUAAAAAAUAAGUUAAAAGAUACACUUAGGCACAUUACAAUUUUAACAGGUUUAUUUGAGCAUUCAGCAAUUUUAUCAAUCAGGCAGUGGCAGACCGCCAGCAGUUCAGGGCGCCACCACCGAGGAAACCAGAGGGGACACUUACAAGGUGUCUCUGGGAGCAAGACAAAGAAACUAUUUGAUUGGUUAGAGUGGAAAGUUCAUAUUUAGAGGUUAACUGACCAUAAAUCUCUUGUUAGAGGUUAGUCGGUAGUUUCUGACUGGUUAAGCUGAAGUUUCCUGCUCCUAGGUUACACACAACACUUUCACUCUGAGUUGAGUUUCAGUUUGCUGACUUAGGAACCCAAAGUGCAGGAGCCAUUUCAGCCUAUUGGCCUCCCAGCGAAUUUUUUAUAACAGGUGAGGGAGGGUGCUUAGUGUGUAUCAGAAUAGCAUACCAAAGGAAGCAGCCAGUCCUGAGGCCACGAGGGGAUGGGGGGAAUGUUCCUGGAAUGUUCAAGGAACAGCAGAGAAGACCAUUAUGGCCAGAAUGCAGAUUGUAGGACAUGAGACCAAAGAGGGUACAGGAUCCCAGAGCAUCUAAGGCAGAGACUGGCUUUUACUCUGAGUGCAGUAGGAAAACCAUUGGAGGAUUUUGAGGAACGACAGGAUCAACCUCUGUUUUUAAAGGAUCCUUCUGGCUGCUGUGUCGAAAACGACAGGAGAUGGGGGAAGGCUAGAAGCUGGGAGACCAGCAGGGAGGUUGUGGCUGUUGUAGGAGUCCAGCCCAAGAUGCAAGAUAAGAGAGCUUCUUAGGCCGGGGGCAAUGGUGGAGGUGCCGAGAAACGGCCAGAUUCUGGGUGCAUUUUCAAGGUAUCUCUAAUAGGCUUUUCUGACAAACUGGAUGUGGGAUGUAAGACAAAAAGAGCAGUUGAGGAUGGCUCCAAGGAUUUUGGCCUGACAGAAGGAUGGAGUUGACAGUAUCUGAGAUGGGGAAGGCAGAGAGUGAAGAUAGCUGUGGGGGAAGGUUGGGGCAUUGGUGUUGGCCACAGGAUUACAGGUGGAGAUGUUGAACAAACCAUGGGGGCUGUUAAGAUGGAGUUCAGGGGAGAGCUGAAGGCUUGAGAUCCCUUUGGGAUGUGGCAGAGUAUAGGUGAUAUUUAAGGACAUGAACGUGAGUGGCUGGGGAAGCCAGUGAAGAUGGAGAAGAGGAGAGACUCAAGGGCCCAGCCCUCGGGCAUCACACCAUUAAUAGCUCAGGGAGAUCAGGAGGACACAUCUGGGGCCCCAAGGUUUCCUCUCUGGGAAUCCAAGCCCAGGGGUAUGUCUCUUCCCUGUUUUCUGUAGCCCUCUGCUUAAACCCAUAGGCUGAGCGCUCACUUUGGGAUUAUUGUUUUUAGUGGAGAAGGGGGGUAAUGGGAGUGUGACUGUUUACAGUUAACAGAUGUUAAUGUCAAUUUGACUGAUGCUUUAAAAUAGUAUUGCCUGGGUUUUCUCAGGCAGUGAGAAUCUUUGGAUUCUUUCUCCUCCUCUACCUUCUCCAAUCUCUGCAGGAGAUAAGUCCCCCUUCAUAUCAUAUCAGUUAUACUGGCAUUGCAAUCACUUCAUUUUUUUCUAGCUUUUAGAAAAUCCUGUCUCCCAUUUUCCGGUUCCUCCCUGGCCCUCAUUUGUCCACUCUAGCCUCUGGUACCAAAACUCUAUUGCCAUUUACAGCUUUUUCUGACCACAGAAAUCUUGGAUAGGAUCUCAGAUGUCUUCAUUGGCUAACUCAGACCUCUCAAUCUUAGAGACUCCAACCCUCCCUCAUGUUUGUGUUCACCUGUUCACCUGUUACAGUUUAUCUGUGAAAUGUAUAUUUAUAUAUCUUUCCAUCUUGUUUUCUAGGCUGUGUAGCAAGUUCUUCUUGGACAAGGCCUAGCUACAAUUCUCUAAGCCUUACUUUUUGGUACAUAGGGCUAUGUAUUUAGUACAUAGGGCUAUGCCCAUUUGAGGGCAACAGAAUGAAGCUGUAUAAGUUUUCCAUUCUCUUCCUGAUUGACUUUCCCUUACUAAAUCCUGGGCAGGUCUUGGAAAGAGAGCACACCUGUCGCAGGCCCUGGGCUGUGGUUAAUGUAUGCAUCUGCUUG